UGCCGGGUAGUGCAACGGUAGUCACGCCGCGCUCUGGACGCGGAAAUCUAGGUUCGAAUCCUAGCCCGGCAG
rfam:Candidatus Ryanbacteria bacterium RIFCSPLOWO2_02_FTLL_45_11c rifcsplowo2_02_scaffold_5521, whole genome shotgun sequence.